GGGCCCGCACAAGCGGUGGAGUAUGUGGUUUAAUUCGAUGAUACGCGAGGAACCUUACCAGGACUUAAAUGUAAGUUGCAUGAUUCAGAAAUGAAUCUUUCUUCGGACUACUUACAAGGUGCUGCAUGGUCGUCGUCAGCUCGUGCCGUGAGGUGUCAGGUUAAGUCCUAUAACGAGCGCAACCCCUAUCGUUAGUUGCCAUCAAGUAAAGUUGGGAACUCUAGCGAAACUGCCGGUGCAAACCGAGAGGAAGGUGGGGAUGACGUCAAAUCAUCACGGCCCUUACGUUCUGGGCUACACACGUGCUACAAUGGUCGGUACAGAAAGCAGCCACUAUGCGAAUAGGAGCUAAUCUUUAAAAACCGAUCUCAGUUCGGAUCGCAGUCUGCAACUCGACUGCGUGAAGCUGGAAUCGCUAGUAAUCGGAUAUC
rnacentral:rRNA from 1 species